UUAAGCGACUAAGCGUACACGGUGGAUGCCCUGGCAGUCAGAGGCGAUGAAGGACGUGCUAAUCUGCGAAAAGCGUCGGUAAGGUGAUAUGAACCGUUAUAACCGGCGAUGUCCGAAUGGGGAAACCCAGUGCAAUUCGUUGCACUAUCGUUAACUGAAUACAUAGGUUAACGAGGCGAACCGGGGGAACUGAAACAUCUAAGUACCCCGAGGAAAAGAAAUCAACCGAGAUUCCCCCAGUAGCGGCGAGCGAACGGGGAGCAGCCCAGAGUCUGAAUCAGCUUGUGUGUUAGUGGAACGGUCUGGAAAGUCCGACGGUACAGGGUGAUAGUCCCGUACACCAAAAUGCACAGGUUGUGAACUCGAAGAGUAGGGCGGGACACGUGGUAUCCUGUCUGAAUAUGGGGGGACCAUCCUCCAAGGCUAAAUACUCCUGACUGACCGAUAGUGAACCAGUACCGUGAGGGAAAGGCGAAAAGAACCCCGGCGAGGGGAGUGAAAAAGAACCUGAAACCGUGUACGUACAAGCAGUGGGAGCACCUUCGGGUGUGACUGCGUACCUUUUGUAUAAUGGGUCAGCGACUUAUAUUCUGUAGCAAGGUUAACCGUAUAGGGGAGCCGCAGGGAAACCGAGUCUUAACUGGGCGUUAAGUUGCAGGGUAUAGACCCGAAACCCGGUGAUCUAGCCAUGGGCAGGUUGAAGGUUGGGUAACACUAACUGGAGGACCGAACCGACUAAUGUUGAAAAAUUAGCGGAUGACUUGUGGCUGGGGGUGAAAGGCCAAUCAAACCGGGAGAUAGCUGGUUCUCCCCGAAAGCUAUUUAGGUAGCGCCUCGUGAAUUCAUCUUCGGGGGUAGAGCACUGUUUCGGCUAGGGGGUCAUCCCGACUUACCAACCCGAUGCAAACUACGAAUACCGAAGAAUGUUAUCACGGGAGACACACGGCGGGUGCUAACGUCCGUCGUGAAGAGGGAAACAACCCAGACCGCCAGCUAAGGUCCCAAAGUCAUGGUUAAGUGGGAAACGAUGUGGGAAGGCACAGACAGCCAGGAUGUUGGCUUAGAAGCAGCCAUCAUUUAAAGAAAGCGUAAUAGCUCACUGGUCGAGUCGGCCUGCGCGGAAGAUGUAACGGGGCUAAACCAUGCACCGAAGCUGCGGCAGCGACACUAUGUGUUGUUGGGUAGGGGAGCGUUCUGUAAGCCUGCGAAGGUGUGCUGUGAGGCAUGCUGGAGGUAUCAGAAGUGCGAAUGCUGACAUAAGUAACGAUAAAGCGGGUGAAAAGCCCGCUCGCCGGAAGACCAAGGGUUCCUGUCCAACGUUAAUCGGGGCAGGGUGAGUCGACCCCUAAGGCGAGGCCGAAAGGCGUAGUCGAUGGGAAACAGGUUAAUAUUCCUGUACUUGGUGUUACUGCGAAGGGGGGACGGAGAAGGCUAUGUUAGCCGGGCGACGGUUGUCCCGGUUUAAGCAUGUAGGCUGAUUAUCCAGGCAAAUCCGGAUAAUCAAGGCUGAGGUGUGAUGACGAGGCACUACGGUGCUGAAGUAACAAAUGCCCUGCUUCCAGGAAAAGCCUCUAAGCAUCAGGUAACAUCAAAUCGUACCCCAAACCGACACAGGUGGUCAGGUAGAGAAUACCAAGGCGCUUGAGAGAACUCGGGUGAAGGAACUAGGCAAAAUGGUGCCGUAACUUCGGGAGAAGGCACGCUGGUGUGUAGGUGAAGCCCCUGCGGGUGGAGCUGAGACCAGUCGAAGAUACCAGCUGGCUGCAACUGUUUAUUAAAAACACAGCACUGUGCAAACACGAAAGUGGACGUAUACGGUGUGACGCCUGCCCGGUGCCGGAAGGUUAAUUGAUGGGGUUAUCCGUAAGGAGAAGCUCUUGAUCGAAGCCCCGGUAAACGGCGGCCGUAACUAUAACGGUCCUAAGGUAGCGAAAUUCCUUGUCGGGUAAGUUCCGACCUGCACGAAUGGCGUAAUGAUGGCCAGGCUGUCUCCACCCGAGACUCAGUGAAAUUGAACUCGCUGUGAAGAUGCAGUGUACCCGCGGCAAGACGGAAAGACCCCGUGAACCUUUACUAUAGCUUGACACUGAACAUUGAGCCUUGAUGUGUAGGAUAGGUGGGAGGCUUUGAAGCGUGGACGCCAGUCUGCGUGGAGCCAACCUUGAAAUACCACCCUUUAAUGUUUGAUGUUCUAACGUUGGCCCCUGACCGGGGUUGCGGACAGUGUCUGGUGGGUAGUUUGACUGGGGCGGUCUCCUCCCAAAGCGUAACGGAGGAGCACGAAGGUUAGCUAAUCCUGGUCGGACAUCAGGAGGUUAGUGCAAUGGCAUAAGCUAGCUUGACUGCGAGCGUGACGGCGCGAGCAGGUGCGAAAGCAGGUCAUAGUGAUCCGGUGGUUCUGAAUGGAAGGGCCAUCGCUCAACGGAUAAAAGGUACUCCGGGGAUAACAGGCUGAUACCGCCCAAGAGUUCAUAUCGACGGCGGUGUUUGGCACCUCGAUGUCGGCUCAUCACAUCCUGGGGCUGAAGUAGGUCCCAAGGGUAUGGCUGUUCGCCAUUUAAAGUGGUACGCGAGCUGGGUUUAGAACGUCGUGAGACAGUUCGGUCCCUAUCUGCCGUGGGCGCUGGAGAAUUGAGGGGGGCUGCUCCUAGUACGAGAGGACCGGAGUGGACGCAUCACUGGUGUUCGGGUUGUCAUGCCAAUGGCACUGCCCGGUAGCUAAAUGCGGAAGAGAUAAGUGCUGAAAGCAUCUAAGCACGAAACUUGCCCCGAGAUGAGUUCUCCCUGAGACUUUAAGUCUCCUGAAGGAACGUUGAAGACGACGACGUUGAUAGGCCGGGUGUGUAAGCGCAGCGAUGCGUUGAGCUAACCGGUACUAAUGAACCGUGAGGCUUAACCUU
rnacentral:rRNA from 2 species